UGCAGUCGACGAUGAUGCCCAGCUUGCUGGGUGGAUUAGUGGCGAACGGGUGAGUAACACGUGAGUAACCUGCCCCUGACUCUGGGAUAAGCGUUGGAAACGACGUCUAAUACUGGAUAUGAUCACUGGCCGCAUGGUCUGGUGGUGGAAAGAUUUUUUGGUUGGGGAUGGACUCGCGGCCUAUCAGCUUGUUGGUGAGGUAAUGGCUCACCAAGGCGACGACGGGUAGCCGGCCUGAGAGGGUGACCGGCCACACUGGGACUGAGACACGGCCCAGACUCCUACGGGAGGCAGCAGUGGGGAAUAUUGCACAAUGGGCGAAAGCCUGAUGCAGCAACGCCGCGUGAGGGAUGACGGCCUUCGGGUUGUAAACCUCUUUUAGUAGGGAAGAAGCGAAAGUGACGGUACCUGCAGAAAAAGCACCGGCUAACUACGUGCCAGCAGCCGCGGUAAUACGUAGGGUGCAAGCGUUGUCCGGAAUUAUUGGGCGUAAAGAGCUCGUAGGCGGUUUGUCGCGUCUGCUGUGAAAUCCCGAGGCUCAACCUCGGGCUUGCAGUGGGUACGGGCAGACUAGAGUGCGGUAGGGGAGAUUGGAAUUCCUGGUGUAGCGGUGGAAUGCGCAGAUAUCAGGAGGAACACCGAUGGCGAAGGCAGAUCUCUGGGCCGUAACUGACGCUGAGGAGCGAAAGCAUGGGGAGCGAACAGGAUUAGAUACCCUGGUAGUCCAUGCCGUAAACGUUGGGCGCUAGAUGUAGGGACCUUUCCACGGUUUCUGUGUCGUAGCUAACGCAUUAAGCGCCCCGCCUGGGGGAGUACGGCCGCAAGGCUAAAACUCAAAGGAAUUGACGGGGGGCCCGCACAAGCCGCGGAGCAUGCGGAUUAAUUCGAUGCAAC
rnacentral:rRNA from 1 species